GGAAGUUCCCAGGUUAGGUGUCGAAUCAGAGCUGCAGCUGACAGCCUAUACCACAGCCACAGCAACUCAGGAUCCCAGCCACAUCUGCCACAUACACCACAGCUCACUGCAACGCUGGAUCCUUAACCCACUGAGGGAGGCCAGGGAUUGAACCUGCAUCCUCACGGAUACUAGUCAGGUUCAUUACAACUGAGCCACAGUGGUAACUCCUCUAGUUUAGUUUCACUUUUUAUUUCUAAAUUUUUAUUGUCCUUAUGUUUUGUUUUGUUUUUCUAGCUUUGUUGGGCUCCCUGGCCUUCCUGGCUCUCAGUUUUUGUCACAGCCAGUAGUGACACUGACACAGACCCACCUUUCCCUCCUGAGCCAGGCAGCUGGAUUCUCUCAUAUUUUUCUCUGCUUUAUCCUCAAGGAUUCUCUACAAUAUUCACAAGCAGGAAUAUCCAGUCUUCAUUCAGAUCUAUUUCCUCACUGGUCCUGAUCCAGACCCCGGUCAAAGGCAACCCAGGACGGU
rnacentral:lncRNA from 1 species